CAGUAGCCGCGGUAAUACGUAGGGUGCAAGCGUUAAUCGGAAUUACUGGGCGUAAAGCGUGCGCAGGCGGUUAUAUAAGACAGAUGUGAAAUCCCCGGGCUCAACCUGGGAACUGCAUUUGUGACUGUAUAGCUAGAGUACGGCAGAGGGGGAUGGAAUUCCGCGUGUAGCAGUGAAAUGCGUAGAUAUGCGGAGGAACACCGAUGGCGAAGGCAAUCCCCUGGGCCUGUACUGACGCUCAUGUACGAAAGCGUGGGGAGCAAACAGGAUUAGAUACCCGGGUAGUCUCUGUCUCUUAUAC
rnacentral:rRNA from 1 species